UACCUGCAGCCCAAGUGGUGAUCGCUAUUAUUGGGCCUAAAACGUCCGUAGCCGGUUCUAUAAAUGCCUGGGUAAAUCGUACGGCUUAACCGUACGAAUUCCGGGUAGACUGUUCAACUUGGGACCGGGAUAGGCUAGAGGUACUCCUGGGGUAGAGGUGAAAUUCUGUAAUCCUAGGGGGACCACCAGUGGCGAAGGCGUCUAGCUAGAACGGGUCUGACGGUGAGGGACGAAGCCUUGGGGAGCAAACGGGAUUAGAUACCCGGUAGUCCAGGGUGUAAACGCUGCUCGCUUGAUGUUAGUCGGGCUCCGAGCCCAACUAGUGUCGGAGAGAAGUUGUUAAGCGAGCUGCCUGGGAAGUACGGUCGCAAGACUGAAACUUAAAGGAAUUGGCGGGGAGCACCGCAACGGGUGGAGCGUGCGGUUU
rnacentral:rRNA from 1 species